AUGGAAGUGGCUUGGGUCAAUAGUCCCAGCAGAGCUGAGCCUUCAAGUCUUCCUAGCCCAGGCACCAGAGAUGGGAGAGAGGAACUCUCCAGGUCAUCUCUCUGCCAUCGGGAGGCAGCAUCGAGCAACCCCGUGCUGGGGCAUCAGGCAAGACCAGAGCUCAAAUCCAGGCUGCCCACUUCUCACGUGUAAAUGUGGAUAGCAGCAGUUUGUCUUACACAAGGCUGAAGUGAGGGUAAAAGAGACUGUGUGUGUAAAGUUCCUAGCUCAAUGCCUGGCACAGGUUAGAGCAGGUCUUUCUCUCCUCUGCCUGGGCUGGGGUGAGUGGUCUGGGGGGACCCUCUUUGUGUCACCCAGUGGAGCACUGUGCACAGUAUGGCCGCCAGCCCCUGCAGUGGGGAGAGCACGGGGUGGGGAGGUCCUCCCACACUCUCCCUCUGACCC
rnacentral:lncRNA from 1 species